ensembl:lncRNA
CACGAACGUAUACGUACCAGUCUGUGUUAAUGUUUCAUUCUUUAAAGAAGUGUAAUAACUUUCCUCUGUCCUCUUUCCUUUGUCUCAGCUUCUCUUUGUCUGUCCUCUGUCCUCCACAGAGCCACUGUAACAGUCAGUUUGAAGCGUUUGGUUUCUCUUCAGCUCGUCCGCCUGCUGCUGCUGGACGACGACGUCACCGUUUUAACACCAAGAGCUUGAAGACGUCUCAUCUGAAGACCCGAUGGACCCGGCGUCCCGACCAGCGCCGCCCAAAGACCACGGCUUCCCUCCUCGGCCUGACGCAAUAAGUUUAAAGUCAAGGUCAGGAGGCGACGGGGGGCCGGAGAUUAGCAGAGAAGCUAC